CCUCGGGAAACCGAGGUUAAUACCCGGAUACUCCAUAUUUGUCGCAUGGCGAAUAUGGAAAAGCUCCGGCGGCAAGGAUGGGCCCGCGGCCUGUUUAGCUAGUUGUGGGGUAGUGGCCCUACCCAAGGCAAUGAUGGGUAGCCGGGUUGAGAGACCGACCGGCCAGAUUGGGACUGAGACACGGCCCAGACUCCUACGGGAGGCAGCAGUGGGGAAUCUUGCACAAUGGGCGAAAGCCUGAUGCAGCGACGCCGCGUGCGGGAUGAAGGCCUUCGGGUUGUAAACCGCUUUCAGCAGGGGACGAGGCCGCAAGGUGACGGUACCUGCAGAAGAAGCCCCGGCUAACUACGUGCCAGCAGCCGCGGUAAU
rnacentral:rRNA from 1 species